UACGAAGGGGGCUAGCGUUGUUCGGAAUUACUGGGCGUAAAGCGCACGUAGGCGGCUCUUUAAGUCGGAGGUGAAAUCCUGGAGCUCAACUCCAGAACUGCCUUCGAUACUGAAGAGCUCGAGUCCAAAAGAGGUGAGUGGAACUGCGAGUGUAGAGGUGAAAUUCGUAGAUAUUCGCAAGAACACCAAUGGCGAAGGCGGCUCACUGGCCCGGUACUGACGCUGAGGUGCGAAAGCGUGGAGAGCAAACAGG
rnacentral:rRNA from 1 species